GAUUCCUACGGGAGGCAGCAGUGGGGAAUAUUGGGCAAUGGAGGAAACUCUGACCCAGCGACGCCGCGUGCGGGAUGAAGGCCUUCGGGUUGUAAACCGCUUUCAGUAGGGAAGAAGCGAAAGUGACGGUACCUACAAAAGAAGCACCGGCUAACUAUGUGCCAGCAGCCGCGGUAAUACAUAGGGUGCAAGCGUUGUCCGGAAUUAUUGGGCGUAAAGAGCUCGUAGGUCGUUUGUUACGUCGGAUGUGAAAACCUGAGGCUCAACCUCAGGCCUGCAUUCGAUACGGGCAAACUAGAGUUUGGUAGGGGAGACUGGAAUUCCUGGUGUAGCGGUGGAAUGCGCAGAUAUCAGGAGGAACACCAAUGGCGAAGGCAGGUCUCUGGGCCAAUACUGACACUGAGGAGCGAAAGUCUGGGGAGCGAACAGGAUUAGAUACCCUGGUAGUCCAGACCGUAAACGGUGGGCACUAGUUGUGGGAACCUUCCACGGUUUCUGCGACGCAGCUAACGCAUUAAGUGCCCCGCCUGGGGAGUACGAUCGCAAGAUUAAAACUCAAAGGAAUUGACGGAAUC
rnacentral:rRNA from 1 species